rnacentral:lncRNA from 1 species
CGGACUUUUGACUGGGACGCGCGGUGGCACGUUCUUUUUCUACGUCCGUGUUUCUCACUUCCGCUUGUGAGGGAUUCAGGUCGGAGGAAGCAUUUCUAAGGAACAAGCCAGGACUCACGCACUUCAUCUAGGCAGCCUUUAGACACUGCAGAAUUGACAGUGCCAACUAGCAUUGGACUCUUUCAAGAUGAGCUUCCUCUUGCCCAAACUGACCAGCAAGAAAGAAGUAGACCAGGCGAUCAAAAGCACUGCGGAGAAGGUCUUGGUUCUCAGGUUUGGGAGGGAUGAGGAUCCCGUCUGUCUGCAGCUGGAUGAUAUUCUUUCAAAGACUUCAGCUGACCUGAGUAAAAUGGCUACCAUUUACCUGGUGGACGUGGACCAAACUCCAGUUUAUACACAGUAUUUUGACAUCAGUUAUAUUCCCUCUACCGUAUUUUUCUUCAAUGGGCAGCACAUGAAAGUGGAUUAUGGGUCGCCGGAUCACACUAAAUUCGUAGGAAGCUUCAAAACCAAACAAGACUUCAUAGAUUUGAUUGAAGUCAUCUACCGGGGAGCUAUGCGAGGAAAACUUAUUGUUCAAAGUCCUAUUGACCCCAAGAACAUACCCAAAUACGACCUCCUCUAUCAAGACAUUUAGCACUCGCUGCUGUUGGAGAGAAGAGAGGCACAGGCUGAAGCAGAACCUGAACUCAGAGAGCCUGUGGUCUGGAGUCCCUCAGAGACAUGCUCACUGCCUGAGCAAAGAGGUUUCAUAGGUCUGUAAUCAACGGCCCCUCUGCAGAAGCCCCAGUGCUCCCAGAAUGGAGAUGCCUGAGUGUCCAUUCUCUGAGAGCCUCAGAGCAGUGAGCGAGUGACAGGUGGCAUUGUAACGUCCCUUUAUCUUGACUUUCUUUCCCCCUUAAGGUCAAGCCUCCUCCUAGGCGCUGUGAGAACAGUUUGGCCAUGUUUGUGCACACGGGCUCUCCUGGGCCUCCAUUUACUCAUUUACUUGCCCCUCCUAUCCCAGCUUCUCUUGAAAUAGUUAAUACUUAGAUGCAGGGGAGUUCAUUUGUUUCCUCACAGACUGAAAACAGAACCCGUCCACAUAUUUACAGCUGGCAGGUCGUUAAUUGACGAGAGAAAAAUGUGGCUCUCCACCACCCAGCACAGUUUGAGCUAAAUAACAAGUUAACUGCCCUUGGGAAGUAAGGGACAGGGCUCCCCAGAAAGCAGUGCCACCACCCCUUAUUUCAAGGACUCAAGGCCAAAAGGGUAUCAGAUUGUUAAGGGAGCAAUGCCUUGAGGGGUUUGCGAUUCCAAGGGCUUUUUCAGAAUGACCCAACCUCAGGAAACUUGUGUUUCUCGUAAGCCUGUGGUAGUAGUUGUCCCUGACACUGGAGUGAGAGAGCAGGGGCAGAGCUGGAGGGCUAUGGCCAGGAAGCUUGUGACCUGCUGGGCAGCAAGGGACUUGUUGACAGCAGAGGCCCAGGUGUGUGGGAGGCAACACUGUCACCACAGGGCCAACCCUGGCAUUAGCUGCUUACUACUAAGCUUGUCCUUUAGAGAAAAGUGAAACAGGACCUGGUUCUGACAGAUGUGGCACAGAAAGAAGGUUGUUUGGGUUUUCUGAGUCCUCUGCUUAAAGCUGAGCAAUGCUUCAGGGAGGUGCAGACAGCGUUUUCCCACCACCUCCUUAGGAUGCCUGGGGCUGUGGCAGCCACCCUGGACACGUGGGAUGAAGAGUUAGAGAUUGUAAGAGUCAGAUCCCUGAUGAAGUCCUGGGUGAACGAUAAACUCUCCUCCAGUCCCUAUGAUGGAAUAAAAGGUCUUUGUCCAACUGAC